AAAAAAGACAAGAAAACACUUCAGUAAAUGGCUGUGUAUUUUUGCGAGAUAAUUAUUUGGCACAAAUUGGAGUUAAAGGCGAAGGAGAUUGUAUGUGUUAUUUACUAGGAAUAGUUUAUUAAAAUGGCCUAGCUGUAAAAUUAAAUUAUGCAGGGAGAGGAUAAAAAAUUGGAAUAGGAAAAAUGUUGAUUGCAUAUGCUGCUUUUGAAACUUUGAAGUCAAUUAAGCAUGGUUUAUGCAGACAUGUGAUAGAGAUAGCGGAAGAAAAAUAAUAAUCGUGGGCACCAAAUAUCAUAAGCUAAACACGAUUCAAUAACAAGUAGCUCAGUCAAUAUCGAAACUACUCUAUAAAUUUUAUAGUGAAUUUUUUUAUUUAAAACUCAAUGUGUCAGUUUUUGGUAUAAGUUUCGUGUUUGCAAUAUGUAUAUUUAACCGAG
rnacentral:lncRNA from 1 species